CUACGUGCCAGCAGCCGCGGUAAUACGUAGGGGGCAAGCGUUAUCCGGAUUCAUUGGGCGUAAAGCGCUCGUAGGCGGUCUGUUAGGUCGGGAGUUAAAUCCGGGGGCUCAACCCCCGUUCGCUCCCGAUACCGGCAGACUUGAGUUUGGUAGGGGAAGGUGGAAUUCCUAGUGUAGCGGUGGAAUGCGCAGAUAUUAGGAAGAACACCAGUGGCGAAGGCGGCCUUCUGGGCCAUAACUGACGCUGAGGAGCGAAAGCUAGGGGAGCAAACAGGAUUAGAUACCCUGGUAGUCCUAGCCGUAAACGAUGGACACUAGGUGUGGGGGAAUAUUUCUUCCGUGCCGCAGCUAACGCAUUAAGUGUCCCGCCUGGGGAGUACGGCCGCAAGGCUAAAACUCAAAGGAAUUGACGGGGGCCCGCACAAGCGGCGGAGCAUGCGGAUUAAUUCGAUGCAACGCGAAGAACCUUACCAAGGCUUGACAUGC
rnacentral:rRNA from 1 species